UUAUUUGAAUUUAUGUCAAGAAGGUCAAUUAUUGAGGCUAUUUUCAUUUUUAGUUGAUGGAGAGAUAUAGGGAGAGGUGGAAGGAUCUUCACAUGGACUUUGUUGGUGUAGAUAAGCACUUGAUAUGGUCUAUAGAGAGUUAAUCCGGUAGGUAGUGGGAAAGAAAAGUGACUCAAGAAGAUAUGUUGACAUGAUUAAAGAUGCAUGAUGGGGUAUUCACAUCCUUAAAAAAGAAAAAGAAAAAAAGAGCGGAAAGUAACAAAGGUGAGGAUCACUGGUGGAGGGACAAGUGAUUUUCAAUCAUUGUAGGCUUACACCAGGGGUCAAAAUUGAGCCUGUAUCCUUUUGCAUUGGUUACGAACGAUUUAACAAUGCAUUUACAUGAAGAGUUCCCAUGGUGGUUUAUGUUGUUUGCAGAUGACAUAGUUUUGAUUGGCGGUAUAAGGGAAGACAUAAAAAAAAUUUAGAACUGUGGAAGGAUGCCUUAGAAUCUAAAGGUUUUAAAAUUAGGAGUGGAAAUGAGGAAUCAGUUAAGGUUGUUGACCAAGUACACCAACAUGACCAUUUUCAAUAUCUUGGGUGGAUAAUUGUGAGGGUGGAGAGAUCAAUGAUGACAUUGCUCAUAGAAUUCAACUUGGGUGGAAGAAUUGGAGAUGUGCCUUUGGAGUUUUAUGUGAUCCUCGCAUAGCAAUCAAACUGAAGGGCAACCUUUAUAGGAUAGUUAUAAGACCGCCCAUGCUUUAUGGGAUAGGAUGUUGGGUAGUUAAGGAACAAUAUUCAUGAACAUAGUUGAAAUGAGUAUGUUGAGAUGGAUGAGUGGUAAGAUGAGGAAGGAUAGAAUUAGAAGUGGAUCCAUUCGAGGGAACUUAGGAAUAGGAGUAGCACCAAUAAGUAAUAAGAUGAGGAAAGUAGACUUAAUGGUUUGGUCAUGAGUGAUGGAGAACAAGCACUAUACCAGUUAGGAGUAAGUUGGUUCAAGUUGAAGGCUCCAGAAGGUCAAGAGGAAGGUCCAAAAGGACAUGGGGUAAGGUACUAAGAAAAAGGCCCCAGGACCUAUGAUUUAACUGCGAAUAUGGUCCGUGAUAGAGUGAAUGACCAAACAGGACUCAUGUACCUUUUGCGAUACUCUUCAUCUUGUCAUUGGAGUACCUUGGAGGUCAGGCUUUUCCUUUAAUUUGAUUUUUUUCUGUGUGAUUAUUUGUUCCAUGCAUGAAACUUCUUUUGAAUAAUCAAAUAUUAUAUACCAUUUCAUUUUAAAAUCGAAUUAACUUAGGAAUAGUUGUACCUUUCAAAAAAGAAUGAAUUAUAGUUACACAUGAGCUUGAUGUUGAUAGUAAUAUGUUUAAGAUAACAAAUUACUCAUGGGGCCUGUUUGUUGGAUAGUUCCCAUACAGAUGUCUAAGCUCGAUAGAUUGUUAUUGCAGACAUCAGCCCAUGCCCAAGCCUAGUAAUCGUCGAUGAUGUGAGCUAGAUAGCAUGGUCGCGAGUCAUCCUCCUUACAUGUGGUAUGUGUGUGUACUCCUAUCCCGACCAUGUAAAUUGUGGGCAUGUUGCCUAUGAGCAUUGCUCAAAAGUACAGACGCUUGUGUACUCUCUUUUCUCUCGUGGUUGAAGAGGCUAUUUUUCAAACAAUUUUAUGCUUCUGUUAGCAAGUUGGAUAUAUUGUUUCUGUUCCAGAAACAUUGCAGUUCAAACCCAAAUUUUGAUUUUCACAAGUACAUGAUGUGGGCACACGAAACUUAUUUUAAGAAAGUUGUUGGUAAAAGGUAACCUUUGCCCCUCUUUGUUCAUCCUGUCCUGUUGUAGCUAUUCAUCUGUAUUUUCAGGACAAACUCGUCUUCACUCAUUGUCAACAUCAUCUGCAGCUGGUAUCUGUGGCUCUUCGUUGUUAUCCUUCUGUUGCUAAAUGUGGAUGAUGUGCAUGAUUUGAGAUUGUAAACAUACUAUUUCAAUCAUUCAGCAUGCAUUUUUUUUUUUACUUCAUAUACUAUUCAUGAUUGCCAUUGCUUUCAUGUUUAUAUGAAUGAUAUGUAUGCUUCCAUCCUUGUAUUCCUAUUUGGGUUGUUUAUGCAUGAUGGCACACGUAUUUCUAGUUAUCCUUUCUUCUUUCGAUCCUAAUUGUACAGGAUCUCAUAACAAGUGCAUUGGUGGUGUUUUUAUCCUUUCUGCCUUCGAUCCUAAUUGUAUAUAGGACUUCAAAACAAGUGCAUUGGUGGUAUUUUGAAAUUUUUAUAUAGUCACUCGAAACUCAACUCUCGUAAGUGCCAGAGUCUGACUUCUUUUGAAAUUUAGCUUAAGCACUGGAUUGAGUUCUCCAAGUAUUUAAUUGAGCUUUUUGGGCACUUGAUUGAUUUUUUCUUUUCUUUUCUCUUCUUUUCAUUUUUUUUUUCCGGUUCAGCUUGAUACUUAAAGCUUUUUUAAGUUUUGAUUGAAUCGAAUACUUCUGGCUUUGAAAUACACACAUUACCCAUUUACUCAACCCAAUUCUUGAUUUGACCAAGCCAAGGCAAUUUUUUUUAGUACUUGAUUGAGGUUUUAACUCUGAUGUUAACUAAUGAACUGGAUGAAUUGACAACUUCUACUUCUCGUAGGUGCAAAAUUAGAGCACAUAUAACUCGUGUGGCUCAAGACGCUGUGGAGAAGUAGAAGGAUGCUCCAGUGAAGCCUUUUGAUGAAUACUUUUGGUGUAAUUAGCCUCAUAUUGUCCCUCACUUGAUCCAUUUCAUCUAAUUCCACGAUUCAUUUGAGAUUGCAUUCUUCUUCUGGAUGUUGGUAAGUUAGAGCAUAUGUUUCGUAGACCUGCUAGGUGCAUGUAUGUCCACUGAUUUGCCUUGAUAUUUUCAGAGAACCUUUGGGUUUCAUUCAUGCAUGAUGAACAAAAUGUGGGUUACAUAGUUUGAAGGCUUGGACUUUUCGCUUGCCUUGUUAAUAGUAAUAGGCUAAUUGCUACACAAAAUAGAAUGAAAUGCCAAUAAUAAAAGAUAGAUACUAUGUAUUCUUUUCAGUAUUCCUACAUUUCUAGCCCUUAGAAUGUAGUGCUGUUGGAUUACAUGUGCAGCAUGCUUAUUCAAGCUCUUCACUGCUACAGUAACCUUUGUAUGCAAUUUUUACCCUGGUAAUUGUUUGCCUUGCCUUCUUUUAAAGCUCCAUUCGUCAAAGAGUUUGGGAUGGCUGGGGCCUAUCCCCCCCCUGAAACGAAGAUGGGUUGCAAGUUCAAAUAAGAGAUUCAGUUAGUAGCAAACCCUGAUGGGUUGGGCUAAGGGAGCAUGGGAGGGAAAGAAACCAGAGGGACGGUCGAUGAGUACCCGGACCCACAGGUCUAGGCACUUCUUGGACCAACCCGAUUUUAAUAGUUUGGGUCCCAUUUAUUGAACCCGUUAAGAAUUCGGGUUUGAGUGCUUUAGUUAGCAUUAGGUCACAUUGAUUGACCCACUCAAUUCUAGUUGGUCUAGUUGGGUAGGUUUACUAGAGAACCAUUAUGAUUUUUGGAUUCCUGGGUAAACAUGAGCAACAUACCUGAGCGAUGGGGUGGAUCUCGUGAAAGUUAGACUCACGUGGUGCUCGAUUAGCAGAAGCAAUACACUACUUUACACACUGUGAAAAAACCAGAGGACAAUCAAUGAGUACCCGGACCCGUGGAUCCGGGUACUUGUUGGAUCUGACCCGAUUUGAAUGGUGCGGGUCCCAUUUAUUGGACCCGUUAAGAAAUUGGGUUCAGGUGCCCGAGUUAGUGUUAGGUCACACCUCCUGUUAAGUCUGAUCAUACAUGUUGUCCAUACUGGAUUCUCCUAUAGACCAAGGUGUUCCGUAAUGGUAACAGUGGCCAUAACGACCACCACCGUUACCUUUACAAUACAAGGCAUAAUGGCUGUUACGGCUCUGUAACAACUGUUACGGUCUCUCUUUUUUAUUUAUUGAAAAAACCCUCGAAAAACCUGUAUCUGCUCGUAAUUUUGAUUAAAAAGUAUGAAAAACCUGUAUAUCCCGUAAUAAACCAUUACGGGGCUAUUAUGACCUUUAUAGGGGAUGUAACGUGCCGUUAACGGCAAUUAUGGGUUUUUUUUUUCCAUAACGGCUGUUACGGCCGUUACGAUCCCGUAACGUGUAAUGGUUGGCACCAUUACCUUUACGUAAUGGCCUUUACGGCCCUGUAACGACCUUUAUGGCACACCAUGCUCCAGAUCCAUCAAUUUAUCAUGUUUGCCUCUCGCAGCUAUUUUGGUUGUAGCUGGUUUAGAAUCUGAUAGCUUAGAGUGGUUGCCCCAAAUGGGGAGUUUUCAGUAAUUUUCUCAAUAGGCUUCUUCUAGAUUGAAAGAAAAUGCUGACGAACUGUUUCUCCAGAUACACAUGGGCAAUCACCAACUGUGCCACCUGUGAGGUAAACAUGGGCCAGCUCUUCACAACUACCAACAAGAAGCUGCAGCGAAGAUCAUUCAGCGGUAUUCGGAGUUCUCAAGUUGCGGACAACAUGUGCUGAGACUUGAGCAUGAAAAAUCUGCAGUGUUUUUUCCUUUUCUUAUUUGAUAGAGUGGAUUGUUUUUCAAAGAUGUAACCAACAUCUUUCUAAUGGGGUAGCAGUCCCCGGAAAUGCCUACAGCAAUGAUGCAAGUCAGCAUGGCAUGUGUACCAGUUGCAAAUAAGAGAAAAAAACUUACAGUUUUAAUAUGAAGAAUCAUGGUACCAAUGAAUCACAGUGUGAAUAGAAUCAAAAGAUCAAAUCCCAAAGGCAAAAAAGAGUUAAAGAACUUAGCUGCAUAAUCAUUAUAGCCAGAUUGUUAAUGCUCCCGGCAGGUAUUUAUAGCUACACCAGGAAAGUCUCUCAUUGUGGAUGAUUAUGGACAGGUUAGAGAGGGAGGGAGGACCCACCUGGCCCAACUCUAGUUAUAGGUCUCUUUGGUCCAACUUCAAGAUGCCUUUGCUUCCGAUAGAAAAAAGGCAAAAAUGCUCAACUUCUCUACUGGAUAUGGGAAAGCUUAUGUUAGACUGGCCCGUGAUUAGGAGUGGCACUACUAAAGAGCAUGAAAAUAAUGAGUGCAUAUCAAAGCAGCCUUUCUUUCACUGCCCUUAUCAAGGGAGGCCAACUGUCCGUUUCAAAGGUGGGGCCCACACGAUGGACAGGCUACAUCAAAGGUGGCCCAUGUGAUGAGCAAAUGGGACUUAUUUUUACAUAAUGUGAU